GCAGACAUUUUAACUUUAAUGAUGGCUGUAUUCCAUUUAGUUGGGCUCACUGUGACACUUAGAGGAAUGGAGCCAGAGUUUACAUUAAACACCUAGGGAUGUCCCCAUAAGGUUAAUUAGGUUAAUUAUUAACCCGAUUCCGGUCUGAGUCAUUUAAUAUUUAGUAUCUGCAGAUACCGAGUCUCGAUCCAAUACUUCGAUACUCUGAUUAUAAAUCUAACAGCUGUUCCUCUCUGCAUCUCUAUUAUUUGUUUAUAGGCUAUGUGGAGAUACGAGGAGAAGCUGGACAGGAUGUCAUUCUGCUGUGUAACAGUAGUGACAUUCCAAUCAGAUAUGUAAUAUGGACCAGAUCUGACCUGGUGUAUCCAGACUACGUCCUCUUUCAAAAAACUACACUCUCAGAUCCAACCUACCAGCACUCAUCCUUUAAAGGUCGAGUGCAGCUGGUGGACGGUGAGCUGAGCAGUGGAAACUUUUCUCUAAUCAUUAAGAACGUGAGCAGAGAUGACAACGGUACUUACGAGUGUCGAGUUGCAGCAGAUGCUCUUAAGCUGAUUGAAACCAUCCAGCUGCAGGUGACAGAGCCAGGGGACCAGGACAACAACAAAGGAACCUCCACUGCUUUACAUGUCGGAUCUGGAGCAGCAGCUGCAGUUGUUCUGGUUUGUUUGGCUGCUGUUGGUGUUUGGUAUUUUUUUUGCAAGAAACCACAAACAUCUGCUGAUGAAGAAACAGGAGGUGAUGAUGUCCUCUGACAUGUAACAGACCUGUCUACAGUGUUUUUUACCUGUUGGAUUUUCAUUCUCUCUGUGGGUGUGAGCUCAGGUAUAGAUCAGAUGCUUGAGGUUCUCCACCAGGACGUUCUGGUAUCAGUAAUGUUCCCCCUAACAAGUCGCUGCCUUACCCAUGUGAAGGGGUUUGUGUAGCUGUGGACUCUGUGAGCUGUGUUGUCUGGAGCACUGAAGCGAUCCUUUUAUUCAAAUCAAAGAUGUCCAAGUCAGUUCAUGACAGGGAGCUUGUGAGUUGUGGAGCGUUGGAGGAUUGUGGAGUUAUAGUUCGACCUCUAAUGUGUUGCUAAUGAAGUUACAGAACAGUGUGACACAAUCACACUGGAGCUUGAACAGCACAGCCGUUAGCUUAGCUUCCCUGAAAAAACAGAGUCUUAUGUGCAGUGUUUCAGAGAUAACUGAUGCUGGUAACGUCAUGUCUUGUCCGGCAUCAGUGGCGGUUCUAGACCAGUUUUUAAUAGGGGGGCCAGGUUGGGGGCGGCUUUUUUGUUAGGGGGGCACAUACAACCCGGGAAAAAGGAUAAAUCCCUCAUUCAGACAAAACAGUGUUUACAAUUUCAGCAAUUUUGAUUGGGUAGUAAACUGCUGAGACACUUUAUUUCUGCCUUUCCCUUCAAAACAAAAUCAUUGCAAGAAAUCUGUCAUUGUAUUAUUAAUGCAGACUCCCUGUCAGGGGCGUCCAGACUCAGAGUCAUGGGGGCACUGGCCCCUGUUGCCCCCCCCCCCCCCCCCCAGAACCGCCCCUGUCCGGCAUCAUUAAUCCCAGAGUCUUUUAUUUCUCACCUGCUCCGUUAGACAACUGAUGAGGCAUCUUACUGACCUAAGCAGGGUUUAUUUAGCAUUAGCAUCCUUAGCUAGCAGCUCCGCCAAUGUCAGAUCAUGCGGUCUGUGUCAGGACGAGGAUUGGUGACAGUAGUUAAGUCACACACAUCUGGAUCAGAACCUGAUACCGAUAUUGGAUCGGUCCCAUCUUUCGUCUUGGUGGUGUGUUCAAGUGCAGCUUCUGACUGAGACUCAGGAGACGUGAGGUGUCUCCGCAGUCGCCGUCUUCAGUGUCAGUUUGGUAUAUCGGCCUCUGACGGGGUUGGAACAAGUCCUGAUGAAUCGCAGACGUGGUGGACGCGGUCAUCACCGCAGCUUUGUCCCUCAGAUUUAGAGUCUCUUACAGAACAUGAUGCCCACAAAGAGUCUCAAAAUCAGCUGUAAGGAGGUCUGAAACAUGAAGAUUUCAUAUUUUAUAUAAUAAAAGCUUGUGUCUGUACUGAUUUAAUGCUACGGGUGUAAACUAGACAUAAUGUUGUUCUUUUUAUACCAAGGAGUAGAUUUCACUCUGCUGAAUGUUAAACUUGCACAUGCAAGCAAUAUUAAUAAAGUAUGAAACAAAAAGUCAGAACUCUUUUUCUUUCUUUUUUACUUUUUACAGUGGAUUUAAUCUAAUGUAAUCUAACACUUGCAUACAUAUUCCAAAAUGUGUGGGAAUAUGAAAUCAUGACAGUGCUGAAGGUCUUUU
rnacentral:lncRNA from 1 species